UCGAUCAGUUAAACGUUGACUAGAAGCACACCUCACUUGGAAUGAUUUGUGCCAAGUGCUCAUAUUUCUUUCUUAUGUAUUUGCUUGCUUGCCAUUUUCCUUUCGCUUGCAUGCUUCUUUACACACCAUUGCACAUAAUGGAUCGGUGAAGCCCGAGAAACGAACAAAAGUUUUCAAAAACCCUCAAAAUCUGACAUUAACUGUCGUGAGGGGAACCCAGCAUUGAGAGCUGAGGCGGUUGGGAUUUGUGUAACUUUAACUAUAAGCACCCAUCUGUAAUCCUUAGCCUCAAAGCAACUCCACACAUAGUAGGACUUGGUUGAUUCAUUUAACAAGUGACCAGGACCUAUGUGAGGACCUACUCAACCUUGCUACAUUUCAAUAAUUAGGAACCCACUCUGACCGAGCAUACCCAUAGUUUAGGACAAAGUUUUCUAGUGCAUUGUUUGCUUAUCUCAGUUGUUUAAUAUUAGAUCCUAGUCUAGAUCCACUUUUGGUCUGAGCUAAAACGUUCUAGGUCCAAGUCCAGGCUUGUACCGAGUCUAGCCUAGGUCCG
rnacentral:lncRNA from 1 species